UCCCCGAUAGCUCAGUUGGUAGAGCGCUUCGCUGUUAACGAAGAUGUCCCAGGUUCGAGCCCUGGUCGGGGAGCAA
rnacentral:tRNA from 1 species